CUGAAGAGAAGCCUACAGAGAAAUGAGGAGAAAGGAGCUCUGCAGCAUUUGGUACAACAAGCCAGAAAAAAGUUCAAGUCUGCCGGAGUCAGCACUUUUGAAAUGGAUAAACAGCUGAAGCGUCGCCUCCAGAUCAUAAAAGUUUCCCGGUUGAGGCUGAAAGACUUCAGUGAAUCAAGCUGCAAUUGUUUAGCCCGUAAAUGCUCAGACUUUAGUACAUAUAAGUGGUUAAAUAAAUAUUUAUAUAUUUAUUAUCAAAGGGAUGGCUCAGUGGCUGCAGCAGAGAGCAUCUCUACAAAUAAACAAAAUGUCAAAGAAGGAGGUUUUUCAUUUUAAGAAAGAGAAAGUCUGCAAAUAUCCUGGAGGAAGCUUAAAUCAAACCAUGUGCCCUCAUGUGCAUCCAACUCUUCUGCCAGUAGAUAAUGGAAAAAUGACUGACUAUCUUUCCAUUCAGGGGACAUUUGGUGCCUUUUCUUGCAUCAAUGUGGAAUGAGUCUUUUAAAACUUGUUUUAAAUGUCAGAUAGUGCUGCAAACAUAACUCAGUUUGGAUGAUUUUGUGGCGUUCGUGCAAGAAAAUUCAACAGAGGAAAUGUAUUAAUUGAGAAAAGAACGUAAAGCAUUUAAAUGUUUAGCUUUCACUGUGAUUUUUGCUGAAAACCAUCACCUGAACGCAUCACGACACUAAGUAGAUUUACAGAUCCACUCCAGGUGAAGUCGAUCGACCUUUUCUGCGCAUCAACUUUAACUCAAUUCGCCAUCUUCUAACGAGUCAGGACACGCGGAGAGCCCGGAGCCGUCCUCCUCCCACGUUCCUGCGCGCGCUCCCCUCCUUAUUUGAGGCUCCGCUCCUCAGCUCAGAGCAGCAGGCGCCCCGAGAGCGCAGCGCAGCGCAACGACCGGAGCUGGACCCCAGCACUCACAGCCCGUCCCGGAUGCGUCUCCACUCCUCCGUCAGGAUGAAAGCCGUCUUUGUGGUGGUGGUGGCGGCUCUGAUCGCGGAAAGUCUGUCGCUUCCUUUGGCCAAAGAGGGGCAGGUGGAAGACAUGGUCAAACGGUGUUUGGUUAAAGUUUUUUCCAAAGCUCUGUCCAAGGCGGAUUCCCAGCUGGAUCCAGACUGCAGAGAUCUUCUCCUAGCAGGGGUCAAACAUGCACCACCGGACAAAAACAGUGAUGGGGGGACCGUUACCAUGGAGAUAGCAUGGCCUGGUCUCCCGCCUGUGUCAAAGCCAGCAGAUGAGAAGGACGUUGAGGCGCUUCUGAAAUCUGUGGGAGGCAUAACAGGAAACCCUGAAGAUGAAGAUGGUCUGGAUGGAGACCAGAGGACGGAAGAGCCGGAAAAUCGGGAGAAGAGGAGCCGCUGGAAACCUGGAAGAUACCAUGCGAGGAGACCUAAGCGGGCAGAGGAAGAGGAGGAUUAUGAUCGCAGUCAGGAGAGCUGGGGUGUGAUGGGAAAAAGAUUAGAGAAUGUCGAGGAAGAUGAAGACAGAUACCGUCAAGGAGGAACUAAACACAAUGAAGAAGAGCAGGAAGAACCAGUGGAAGAACGUAGCCAGGAGUACUGGGAUAUCGGCGGGAGGCACGAGGAUGAUGAAGAGCGAGACAAGCGAAUAUGGAAGCCCACACAUCGUUAUCAUCACAAGAAAAAGUUCCACAAGCGCAGUGAUGAACCACGAGAACCCGGUGAAGAAGACAACCGGGACUACUGGGACGUAGAUGCUGAACCAGAGAAGAGGAACUGGAGACCGGGCAGGUACCAUCAGAGGAGACACAAGCGUGAUGAAGAGCUGUUAGAAGAUGGGGAAGAACCAGAUGAGGAACGUAGUCAGGAAUCUUGGGAUGUGGACAAGAGGAAGUGGAGACCUGGAAGGUUUCAUCAAAUAAGACACAGACGUGACGAAGAGGGGAUAGAAGAAGUACCAGAUGAAGAUCGGAGCCAAGAAUCCUGGGAUGUGGACAAGAGGAAAUGGAGACCUGGAAGGUUUCACCAAAUAAGGCACAGACGUGAUGAAGAGGGGAUAGAAGAAGUACCAGAUGAAGAUCGGAGCCAAGAAUCCUGGGAUGUGGACAAGAGGAAAUGGAGACCUGGAAGGUUUCAUCAAAUAAGACACAGACGUGAUGAAGAGCCUGAAGAAGAACGCAGCCAGGAAUACUGGGAUUUUGACACUGGAUAUGACAAGAGGGGGUGGAGACCUGGAAGAUACCACCAAAGAAGACACAGACGUGAUGAAGAGGCUGCAGACGAAGAACCAGAAGGAGAACGCAGUCAGGAGUCCUGGGAUUUGGAGAAAAGGCCAUCAAACGACGUUGGAGAAAUAGAAAAGCGGAUUUGGAAACCAACGCAUCGAUACCACCACAAAAAGAAGUUUCAUAAGCGCGGAGGUGCAUCAAAAGAUGAGGACCAGGAGGACUCCAAAUAUGAAGAGGAAGCAAAGGAUGAAGAUGAAGCCCAGAGGUCCGACUACCCGCCUGCUUGGUAUAGGAGAGCUUCAGAUGAACCGAUUGCUGCAUCCAACAAGAUGAGUGAGCUGGCCCAGUUGUUGAGCUACAAGGGGAACCCAGCUUACGAGGAGGCUAGGAGGAGCUCACAGCAGAGAGCGCUUACGCCCCAGGAGGAGAAAGAGCUGGAAAACCUGGCAGUGAUGGACAUGGAGCUGCAGAAAAUGGCUGCAAAGCUGCAUGAGAAUGCGUAA
rnacentral:lncRNA from 1 species